CAGCAAAAAAGCCAAGUCACAAACGAAAACUUUGUAUUCCUUUUUAGUGCUACUGGUUCAAAAGAUGGGAUGAGUGGUAAAUUUUUCUGCAAAUCCGAAGGAACCAGAACAGGGAUGGUCAGCUUAGCAAGAGAAACCAAGGCACCAGGUACUUAGCACUUAUGAAAUGCAAGCUCAAGGCAGGCUGUGAGGAACAUCUGCACUUAGAGAAGUCCUUCUGGAAAGCCAAUGGAAAUUAUUUGCUCAAAUAUUAUGCUCCUCCAGCAAUCAGUGGAACUAUUAGUUAACCUGAGGGUGGUCUCUUGCCCACUGCGAGCAUGGCAGGAUCCAUGUGAGGGGACAGAGGAAGAUACAGGCUCACAUUCCAGCAAAGAUGUCCACAGAGGGAUGCACUUCCCCCUGAGGAGCUAUCAGGUCCCUCUGACACCACUGCCUUCUAACACGGACGUUCUCCAGCCUGCAUCAGUCAUCACAGGACACAGCUCUUUUCAUACCUUCUUCCCAACGCUGUGCUGAGGCUCCUGUGGAAUUGCUGUCUGUCUGUCAGCGUUCCUACCUGUGCCUGUGGUCAGUGCUGAUACUCAGGUGAGCUACAGACCACUGAUUAAGUGCAGUCCCAUACCACUGGUGAGCAAUCACAGAAGUUUGGACAACCAUGUAUUCUCACUGAGCCCUGUUGCACUGUGCAGUAAUUAAAAAGUCAUGAGUCCUAUUUAAAUAUAGGGCAUUCUGUCCUAAACCUUUGAGUGCCUGUGGGUGUGAGCAGGCUCAUUCUCCAAAGAUGUUCUCUGGUCUGUGUACAUACACCAGCUUCAUCAAAAGGAUGUAGGAAAUGCCAAAUCCAGAUAUACGGAUUCCACUUUUUUUUAAAAAAUACAUCAUUGAUCAGUCCAGGGAUGGCAAAAAUUAAUAGUAAUGAGCUAAUUACUAUACCAGCUGCCUACAAAGAGAGGACCUGUAGGCAGACUCCUUCUGCCCAUUUGCCUGCUGGUUAAGCCACCACAUUAGAAAUUAUAAAACAAAACUUUUUUCCCUUUAUAAACAUCUAUCAGUAUCACCUUAAUAUGGCCCACAGCACCAACACUGCCUAGCUUUUAAGUUCUCAGAAUCCAGCCAGAAUCUCCCCUAGCACAUUAUAACACAUUUUACUGGCUUGAGCAGGGUAAAACACAGCCGUCUCCUCAAAUGAAUGGCUGGUGAGCUCCAGCAGCCCCUGCACAAGGCCGGGCUCACCAUCUGUGUUCCUCCCAACGUCCGAAGCCCGUUCACAACUGCCAGCCCUUUGAAAAGCCAGCCUGUUUUCCUGAUUGAUUCACUUUUUAAUGAACUGGGAAAGCCUGUGAACUUAAACCCUGACACCUCCACCUCCCUGCCUUCCUAGCCAUCCCUGCAGCAAUGUACUGAUUAUAUUUCAAGUUAUUAUGGGAUUAAUACAGCUGCCCCCAGUGCCUCUUUCCCCUGAACUUCAUCAAUAAAAGUUGUGUCCUAGUCUUACUCUAGUUAGUU
rnacentral:lncRNA from 1 species